UACGGGAGGCAGCAGUGGGGAAUUUUGGACAAUGGGCGCAAGCCUGAUCCAGCCAUUCCGCGUGCAGGAUGAAGGCCCUCGGGUUGUAAACUGCUUUUGUACGGAACGAAACGGUGCUCUCUAAUACAGGGCGCUAAUGACGGUACCGUAAGAAUAAGCACCGGCUAACUACGUGCCAGCAGCCGCGGUAAU
rnacentral:rRNA from 1 species